rnacentral:rRNA from 1 species
CCAGACUCCUACGGGAGGCAGCAGUGGGGGCUAUUUCACAAUGGUUUCAACCCUGAUGCCGCUACGCCGCGUGAUUUAGGAAGUAUUUCUUUAUGUAAAGCUCUAUCAGCAGGGAAGAAAUACUGACCAUAGGGUCAGCAGACUGUACUUGACUAAGAAGCCCCGGCUAACUACGUGCCAGCAGCCGCGGUAAUACGUAGGGGGCAAGCGUUAUCCGGAUUCACUGGGUGUAAAGGGAGCGUAGACGGCGACGCAAGUCUGGAGUGAAAGCCCGGGGCCCAACCCCGGGACUGCUCUGGAAACUGCGUCGCUGGAGUACGGGAGGGGCAGGCGGAAUUCCUGGUGUAGCGGUGAAAUGCGUAGAUAUCAGGAGGAACACCGGCGGAGAAGGCGGCCUGCUGGACCGUGACUGACGUUGAGGCUCGAGAGCGUGGGGAGCAAACAGGAUUAGAUACCCCCGUAG